UACGUAGGUGGCAAGCGUCGUCCGGAUUUACUGGGCGUAAAGAGCGCGCAGGCGGUCGUUCAAGUCGCGUGUGAAAGCCCCCGGCUCAACUGGGGAGGGUCACGCGAUACUGAUCGACUCGAAGGCAGGAGAGGGUAGUGGAAUUCCCGGUGUAGUGGUGAAAUGCGUAGAUAUCGGGAGGAACACCAGUGGCGAAGGCGGCUCUCUGGGACGGUACUGACGCUGAGACGCGAAAGCGUGGGGAGCGAACAGG
rnacentral:rRNA from 1 species